UGAAUACGAGAUGCUACGGCGUCGAAGCAGUGUAUGUCAGACUUCCAAGAAAAGCUCGCAAUGUCAUAAAUAAAGAAUGCCUGUACCAUAACCGACACAGGUGGGUAGGUAGAGUUUACUAAGGGGCGCGAGAUAACUCUCUCUAAGGAACUCGGCAAAAUAACUCCGUAACUUCGGGAGAAGGAGUGCCUUCUUUAAGAAGGUUGCAAUAACAAGAUCCAAGUAACUGUUUAUCAAAAACACAGGUCUCCGCUAAGUCGUAAGACGAUGUAUGGGGGCUGACGCCUGCCCAGUGCCAGAAGGUUAAAGAAGCUGGUUAGCAAUAGCGAAGCUGGUGACUGAAGCCCUGGUGAACGGCGGCCGUAACGAUAACGGUCCUAAGGUAGCGAAAUUCCUUGUCGGGUAAGUUCCGACCCGCACGAAAGGCGUAAUGAUUUGGAUACUGUCUCGGAGAGGGACUCGGUGAAAUAGACUUGUCUGUGAAGAUGCGGACUACCCGCACCAGGACAGAAAGACCCUAUGAAGCUUUACUGUAACCUGAAAUUGAAAUUGGACUUUAUUUGCGCAGUAUAGGUGGGAGGCGUUGAAAGUAAUCUUGCGGGAUUAGUGGAGCCAUCAGUGAGAUACCACUCCUAUAAUGUUAGAUUUCUAACUUUGGAUCAUGAUCUGGUCAAAGAACAGUUUCAGGCGGGCAGUUUGACUGGGGCGGUCGCCUCCCAAAUGGUAACGGAGGCGUACAAAGGUUUCCUCUGAACGGGUAGAAAUCGUAUCUAGAGUGUAAAGGCAUAAGGAAGCUUGACUGUGAGACCUACAAGUCGAGCAGGGACGAAAGUCGGUCUUAGUGAUCUGACGGUGCUGAGUGGAAAGGCCGUCACUCAACGGAUAAAAGUUACUCUAAGGAUAACAGGCUGAUCUCCCCCAAGAGUUCACAUCGACGGGGAGGUUUGGCACCUCGAUGUCGGCUCAUCGCAUCCUGGGGCGGUAGUACGUCCCAAGGGUUGGGCUGUUCGCCCAUGAAAGCGGUACGCGAGCUGGGUUCAGAACGUCGUGAGACAGUUCGGUCCGUAUCCGGUGUAGGCGUUAGAAUAUUGAGAGGAGCCUUCUCUAGUACGAGAGGACCGAGAAGGACAUACCUCUGGUGUACCAGUUAUCGUGCCAACGGUAAACGCUGGGUAGCUAUGUAUGGAGAGGAUAACCGCUGAAAGCAUCUAAGUGGGAAGCCCACCUCAAGAUGAGUAUUCUCAU
rnacentral:rRNA from 1 species